rnacentral:rRNA from 1 species
GACGAACGCUGGCGGCGUGCCUAACACAUGCAAGUCGAACGGGAUCCAUGGGAGCUUGCUCCCGGAAGAUCUAGUGGCGAACGGGUGAGUAACACGUGAGAAACCUGCCCUGGAGUGGGGAAUAACUCGGGGAAACUCGAGCUAAUACCGCAUACCCUCGGAUGGUCGCAUGGCCGACCGAGGAAAGAUUUAUCGCCUUGGGAGCGGCCCGCGUCGGAUUAGCUAGUUGGUGGGGUAACGGCCUACCAAGGCUUCGAUCCGUAGCUGGUCUGAGAGGACGAUCAGCCACACUGGGACUGAGACACGGCCCAGACUCCUACGGGAGGCAGCAGUGGGGAAUCUUGCGCAAUGGGGGCAACCCUGACGCAGCCAUGCCGCGUGAACGAUGAAGGCCUUAGGGUUGUAAAGUUCUUUUACCCGUGACGAUGAUGAC